rnacentral:rRNA from 1 species
UACGUAGGGUGCGAGCGUUGUCCGGAAUUACUGGGCGUAAAGGGCGCGUAGGCGGCCUUCUAAGUCGAACGUGAAAUCCCCGGGCUCAACCCGGGAACUGCGUCCGAUACUGGGAGGCUUGAAUCCGGGAGAGGGAUGUGGAAUUCCAGGUGUAGCGGUGAAAUGCGUAGAUAUCUGGAGGAACACCGGUGGCGAAGGCGGCAUCCUGGACCGGUAUUGACGCUGAAGCGCGAAAGCUAGGGGAGCAAACGGG